rnacentral:rRNA from 1 species
GACGAACGCUGGCGGCGUGCUUAACACAUGCAAGUCGAGCGGUAAGGCUCCUUCGGGGGUACACGAGCGGCGAACGGGUGAGUAACACGUGAGUAAUCUGCCCUUGGCUCUGGGAUAAGCACUCGAAAGGGUGUCUAAUACCGGAUAUGACGCAGUCCUGCAUGGGAUCUGUGUGGAAAGUUUUUUCGGCCAGGGAUGUGCUCGCGGCCUAUCAGCUUGUUGGUGGGGUAAUGGCCUACCAAGGCUUUGACGGGUAGCCGGCCUGAGAGGGUGACCGGUCACACUGGGACUGAGACACGGCCCAGACUCCUACGGGAGGCAGCAGUGGGGAAUAUUGGACAAUGGGCGGAAGCCUGAUCCAGCAACGCCGCGUGAGGGAUGACGGCCUUCGGGUUGUAAACCUCUUUCAGUACCGACGAAGCGAGAGUGACGGUAGGUACAGAAGAAGCACCGGCCAACUACGUGCCAGCCGCCGCCGCCGUAAAAC